UGGCUCAGAUGCUAAAGCGUCUGCCUGCAAUGCAGGAGACCCAGGUUCGAUCCCUGG
rnacentral:tRNA from 1 species